AGGACGAACGCUGGCGGCGUGCUUAACACAUGCAAGUCGAGCGAGGCCCUUCCUUCGGGAAGGAGCCCUAGCGGCGAACGGGUGAGUAACACGUGGGCAACCUGCCUCUAGCACUGGGAUAACUCCGGGAAACCGGGGCUAAUACCGGAUAUCACCUCUGCAGGCAUCUGCGGUGGUUGAAAGGAUUCUGGCUAGAGAUGGGCCCGCGGCCUAUCAGCUUGUUGGUGGGGUAACGGCCUACCAAGGCGACGACGGGUAGCCGGCCUGAGAGGGCGACCGGCCACACUGGGACUGAGACACGGCCCAGACUCCUACGGGAGGCAGCAGUGGGGAAUAUUGCACAAUGGGCGAAAGCCUGAUGCAGCGACGCCGCGUGAGGGACGACGGCCUUCGGGUUGUAACCUCUUUCAGCAGGGACGAAGCGCAAGUGACGGUACCUGCAGAAGAAGCGACCGGCCAACUACGUGCCAGCAGCCGCGGU
rnacentral:rRNA from 1 species